GAUAGCUCAGUUGGUUAGAGAGUGGUGCUCAUAAUGCCAAGGUCACAGGUUCGAUCCCUGCAUAUUCCUUCA